GGAGCAGAUCACGUGGUCGCUCCGGUGCUUUGACGCAUCGGGGAGGAAAGUCCGGGCUCCACAGGGCAGGGUGCUGGGUAACACCCAGUGGGGGCGACCCCAGGAAAGUGCCACAGAAAACAGACCGCCUCGCCUAAGGCGGGGUAAGGGUGAAACGGUGAGGUAAGAGCUCACCAGGUCCCGCGGUGACGCGGGAUGCUAGGCAAACCCCACCCGGAGCAAGACCAAAUAGGGGAGCGCUUGAGGGUGGCCCGCCCAAUGCUCCCGGGUAGGUCGCUAGAUCCCUCUGGUAACAGAGGGACCAGAUAAAUGACCACGCUCGACAGAACCCGGCUUAUGAUCGGCUCCGCCU
rnacentral:RNase_P_RNA from 1 species